UGCAUCGAUGAAGAACGCAGCGAAACGCGAUAGGUAAUGUGAGUUGCAGAAUUCCGUGAAUCAUCGAAUCUUUGAACGCACCUUGCGCUCCAUGGCAUUCCGUGGAGCAUGCCUGUUUGAGUGCCGCGAAACCACCCACCCCUAGCGGUUGCCGCAAGGCGCCGCCGGGCGGCGGGGUUGGUUGGGUGCCGCUGCCUGGGCUUUGGCCCAGGCUCGCCCGAAAUGCAUGAGCGCUUAGCACUCGCACCGUCUCGAGGGAAGGCGGCGGAGCUGGCAUCUGCGCAUGGCAUGAUACGUCAUUUGCUGUGUGGCAGCCCAGCGACCCGAGAGUGUGUGUGCGCUACUACACGCCCUUUCAUUCCUGGUCUCAAAUCAGGUAGGAUCACCCGCUGAACUUAAGCAUAUCAAUAAGCGGAGGA
rnacentral:rRNA from 1 species